AGGUGUUUAAAGUCUUUCUGCGAGAAAAAUGUCUGAACAAUUGUAAAAAUAAAGUAAGAUAUUAGAGAGGGAGAUUAUAAUCAGUUAAUCGUGAUAUGAUAUUAAUUACUCUACUUUCAUAAUCAUUAAGAAAAAAGACGCCUCACGCCUGGACAAACUGGUGAGGAAGGCAGGCUCUAUUGUUGGCAUGGAGCUGGACAGUUUAACAUCUGUGGCAGAGCGACGGGCGCUAAGCAGGCUCCUAUCAAUUAUGGAGAAUCCACUGCAUCCACUAAACAAUGUCAUCUCCAGACAGAAGAGCAGCUUCAGCGACAGACUGCUGUCACUGUCCUGCUCCAUUGACAGACUGAGAAGAUCGUUCCUCCUCCAAACUAUGCGACUCUUCAAUUCCACCGGGGGGGGUAAACGUUAACAUUAUAAAAAGUUAUUGUCUGUUUUUUCCUGCAUUAUUAUCAAUCUUUAAUUUAAUAUAUAUAUAUUUUUUUGUAUCAGUAUGCUGCUGCUGGAGAAUGUGAAUUUCCCCUUGGGAUUAAUAAAGUAUCUAUCUAUUUUCCUGA